rnacentral:lncRNA from 1 species
GAAUCCACCGGGGUGCAGCGAGGCUGUGGAAAGUCCCACCCAGAACGUGAGGUGAAGAAGGCUUGGGCUGCGCUGGUUCUGCUCUGUCCGGGUCGGAGAUGAACUGACCCGGGAGAGCAGCGGAGGGAUGUUUCUUUUGGCCAACAGUGGGGACUCACCUGCACGUUUUGCGAAGAGGCCCACAGUCCUUUGCGUGGCGCUCGGACUACAUUUCCCAACGGCCCCUGCACGCCCUGGGGGCUGUUCCAUGCGGUGUUGCGCCUGCGUAGCCGGCGGGCUGGCAGUGAGACUGACUGCGUCGGGGUUGAGACUGGGUGGAUGAGGCUCACCCCGGCGGGGAGAAGGGACGAGGAGGGGCGGACAGCGGAAGGUCCGGGAGUGUCCGCCAUAAAGUCGUUUGAGGUGACCGUUGCGUAAUUUUUUAACUUCUAGUCAUGGCGAAUGAUCGCAGGAGAGCACAGACUGGACCCUGCUACGAUCUCUCUUGGAGUGGAUCAGACUGAUGAUCACCAACAACCAACUCAUUCCCGGAUAAGGAAGAAGAGAGUGUCACCUACUUCAGUGUGGUUUCAACCCUACUUCUGCAUCUUAAAGACACUUGUACAACGUUGGACACUGUGCAGGAUGAUGCCACUUCAUCUUGGAUGCUAAUCUGCCAUGUUGACUUCUGAUUAACCCCAGGCCCAGGAAUGCCUCAAGAUUUCUACUUUACUUACUGUUGCUUGUGUAAGCCAAGACAACCUUGAUGUUAUCAUAAACAUGUACUUACCUAAGUCCUGUCCUUUGGCAAAUUAUGGGCUAUGAGACACAGCAUUCUUGCCUUUCCCUGAGGGGUCAAUUUCAGCGAUCCUACACAUUCCUUCUGAAGCACUUAUGCUCUUUCUAUAUGGUAUGUAAGCUCUCGGUCUGGGGAGUAACAGUGCAGAGAUCUACCUGUCUUGUUGCCACAUGUUUCUAAACUUUCCAAUAAAUCACCUUCUACUGACAA